rnacentral:rRNA from 1 species
CGGACGGGUGAGUAAUGUAUGGGGAUCUGCCUGAUGGCGGGGGAUAACUACUGGAAACGGUAGCUAAUACCGCAUAAUGUCUGCGGACCAAAGCGGGGGACCUCCGGGCCUCGCGCCAUCAGAUGAACCCAUAUGGGAUUAGCUUGUAGGUAAGGUAACGGCUUACCUAGGCGACGAUCCCUAGCUGGUCUGAGAGGAUGAUCAGCCACACUGGGACUGGGACACGGCCCAG